CCACUACAAAAAAGUAAAAUAUUACGACGGUUUAUUUCCGGCGGUCUAUAAAAACCGCCACAAAUACAACGUAUAUACGGCAGUUUUCUAUCCGUUGUAUUACAUGUUAGUAAACUGGCGGUUUUGAUGAAUAUUACAGGCGGCUUAAACUGCCAUUUUCUUUUGAGUUUUAAUACUUUAUAUUUGAAACCCUAUUCUCUGCGUCCUGCCUUUUUCCUUUCUCGCGCAAAUUAGGAGUCAACCAAAUCUCGCGCAAAUCGUCAGUGCCAUUUCACGAAAUUGUCGGUGCUAUGAAGCUCGCAGAAAAAUCCAACCUUUUGAUAAAAGAUAUCAGUAUCUUUUGUUCCCUACUUGCCUUUCAGCAGCUAUGCUAAAGCAUACGAGGACUCCUACAAAUAACUCAACAGUAGACCAUCAAACAGCUGAUUCAGAACACAUGUUAAAGAGAUCAAGACCUUUGGGUGUAUCAGAUGAAGUAUGAUAUGGGAGAGGAUUGCUAACAGAUGUUUCAAGAUUUGGGAUCUCGGGUAAUGUUCAGUGGCUUUAUAGGUAUAUGUGGAACCUGUUGAUUGCAUUGACAAUCGUUUAUCAUGUAUGGAUGAAUGUUUUUGUAGUCUCAGCUUAAUAGACUUAUUGCUGAAGGUGCUCGUCGUGCAAGAGAAAUAUUAUGUGCCGCCUCUUUCAGGCUUAUGGAAAAUACCAACUAGUUUUAUUCUUGAGGUGGCUAGCUAAGAAGAUCACCAUAUGGAUCUUACCAACGUAGAUUAUGCGAGUUCUCAUAGAAUAUUAAUUCUAGAAUAUGAUAUGGUUAUUUCUCUUCGGAUGGAUGUAAUAUAUUGCUCCUUAACAUUUAAAGAAUUUUGUCAUGUAAUUUUGAAAUGCUUAUAUUUUUCAUAUAUGAUGA